rnacentral:tRNA from 1 species
GCCCAUAUAGCUCAGUCGGUAGAGCACUUUCUUGGUAAGGAAGAGGUCACCGGUUCAAAUCCGGUUAUGGGCUCCA